AGCAUCUCCCCCGGGGAAGAAGGGGCCCCACCCAGCAUGGUUCAGUUCUCCCCCUGCUGCAACACGGCUGCCCAAACAGGAGGGAGGAAGAGCCCCGCGGAAGGUCCUGUACGGCAUUUGGCCCAGAAUUCACAAAGGUGGGCGGACGGCAAAGGGCCCCUUGCAGCUGAAUUCUCCCCCACUGAGUAAGUCACUGAGUGGUGAAGAAAACCUGAAACUCUUUGGAAAAUGCAACAAUCCAAACGGACAUGGACACAACUAUAAAGUGAGAAAUUGACAGGAAAGUAAAGUUUGUCUAGAAGAUCACACAGUAACUCAGAUGCAUUUCCCAGCAAGAUCCCCCAGAGAUCUCAUCUCCUCCAGGCAAGAGGAAAGGAAGCAAACAUUCAGGUCACUGCCCCUUCCUGCAAAGAAGACAGCUCCCCCAGGAGAGCCAGUCCCCUCCAGGCCAGAGGAAAGGCAGCGAACAUCCAGGUCAUUGCAAAGAGCACAGGGGAGUGUGGGUGUCCCGGAUGCAAAGCAGGAGCAGACCUGGCUGGGCCCAGCCUCAGGAGCAGGGCAAAGUCUGCAACAUGAUUAACAAGAAGUAUAACCAGUUCCUCCCAAGCAUGCAGAGCGCUGAGGACUUGGUGUCACAAGUGGACAGUCUGUCCGGCAACAUCGACCUACUGAAAUCCAGGAUCGAAAAUGAGGUGACACGGCAGCGGUUUCACUUUAUCUGUAUCUAGCAGCUUUCAUCCUGCAUCAUCCCAAAGCAGUACAACCCCACUGACGUGCAGCCAUGAGCAUGCUGCACAGGAAGGCAGGGGAGGAGGAUCUUGGCUAAGGAUUCCAGGAUGAAUAGCCGCCUCUUAUAAAGAGUGCCCUUGACUGAAACAUACCAAUGUAUGAUGUAGCAGACCUGGGAUAUAAAUAAAGGGCGGGCUGUAGCUGAAUGGUUUUCUGUGCUGCUCAUCACAGUAGUUUCAGAGCCUCUCGUGUAUAUUAAUGCAUUUAUCUUCUAAGCCUCUCUGCAUUCAGAUAGGGAGGAAUCAUUCUUAUUUUGCUGAUGAGGAAACUGAGGCACAAAGCAGUGGAAUGACCUUGGCCAAGGUCACACGGAGAUUCUGUGCAGAGCUGGGAACCGAGCCCAGAUUUUCUGUAUAUUGAUUGGAAGACUGUCCUUCCUGUGGCCUGCUUAUAUUUUUUGUGCCCAUCGUCCUUUCUAUACCCCUGGACUAAUUCUUUUAGCUGUUCUCUGCCUUGCCACUCUGGCUUUGAAAUGUAAGUUAGAAAGGCUCUAAUGCAGGUGAGAUAUUACAUCUGGAUUUUUUCUUCGCAGAGGAGGAUGAUCAACUCAAAAAUCGUACACUGUGAAAAUAACUUUUACAUCUGAUACCAGUUAUGCUAUGUUAAAAGUGAACGAAUCUUAAAUAUCCAUUUUACUUGUCUCUGUUUAUUUGUUGCCGUGUAUUCAUGUUUUUCGGUGUAUACAAUAACAAUCAGUGACAUCAGUUACACUUGUCUGUAGUCAAUUUCAGCUUUGGGUUCCUAGUGCUGCAGUAUUUAAGGAACAAACAAUGCAGGAGAUUGUUCGUUUGUUUAUUUAACAGUUUGGGGAUCUUUUUUUAAAAAAAGGAGAAACGCAUCUCUUGAUCUUGCAUGCCUAUGGAAGCUUUUAAAAUGUAUAGUUAAACUGUACUUUUCAAAUUGACAUUUAUCUAAUUUAAAAUUGGAAAACUGUUAAAGGGACUCUGGAAUUUUUUUACUGGAAUCAUUUUUUUUUAAAGAUCUGCAAUUUGAUAUCGCCCUGUUCUGCUUUUUUUCAAAAAUUACCGUACAAUAAUGGUUUUUUUUUUUUAACGAGUUUUUCUUCUCCUCUGCUGUUUAACAGGGUCUUUCUAGUGAGGUUAAAAAGUCUGACCAUACAGAGAAAGUGAAUAUAUAUACAUUUCUGUCUACUGCAUUGGGUAAAUACACUGGGGAAAUAGAACCUCUUUUCCUUCUAAGUUCUUUCAGUUAUAAUAACCGUAGGUAUUGUUUGUAACUUUGGGAGGUACGUACGUUUCAGGCAGCACGCUGGUGUUGUCAUGUCGGUGUUACUUUUGAAAUAGAAAUGGCUCUCAUAGCCUUUGGUUACUGUAAAUGAACUGCUGUAGCCUUGCUGUCUGUGCUGCUGUUCUAGGUCUAGCAAGAUCUGAAUGUGGCUAUUGCUGAAUUUACUGAAUUGAAGCAGCAGCUGGAGCGAGUUCUGAGUGUGCCGAAACAGCUGCAAGAGGUGAGGAAGGAGGCUGGGAAAAUGACUUAAGAUCACUAAGUGUUUCUGUAUUUUUUUUUCCACUGACUUCUUCCUGGGUCUCCAUCGUGAAUAAAUGAUCAUGACUCUUC